GGCUCAGUGGCGGAUGGUUCGCAUCUGCACGCAAUAGGAGGACGUACCACAUGCAAAUUGCUCUAUGCAGGAGUCGCUCGUUGGAAUCGAGCCUGGGCCG